GCCGGUAUAGCUCAGCUGGUAGAGCAGUUGAUUUGUAAUCAUCAGGUCCCGUGUUCGAUUCAUGGUACCGGCACCA
rnacentral:tRNA from 2 species